AUGAAAAGACUGAGGUACUUCUGUGACCUCAAGAGUCAAAAGAACACGUUCAGUACAAAUAACAUUUUUAUAAGAACACACAGAUGCAUAUAUGGUGUGAACAUAUGCAUUAAAAUAAUUUUUAGAAUAAAUUACAGAAUUAGUUAUCUGUGGUAUGAAGACAAGGAAAAAACCUUUUACUUUCAUUUUGUAUCUUUUUAUGCUGUUUACAGAAACAGAAACAGCUUUUUUUCAAGAUGGGCUCUCAAGCAGAGCUCAGCAUACCACAGGAAGAAAUUGCCCCGUCUGCGCUGGAGAAAAUGCCACUUGCAGCACCGGGCACCACUGAUUUCCUGCAGAACUCUACUAUGAGGUAUCCAGAGGUAUGGUUGGAGUCAAGCAUGCUUUAGGACAGCUAGCUAGCUGCCCACACCCUGAUCUGCUGAUCGAGCACAUGUGUGUUAAUAGGUGCCACGCCUUGCACCAGGCAAUGAAGGUGCAGCACUGAAACCAAACACAGUCUUUGCCCUCACGGGGCUCAAGGUUCAGCAGAGAAGAUGAAUGAGCAAAUGUGUGAAUUGGGAGGUGGCAGGUGCAGGGAGUAUCUACCUCACCCAGCUUGGGAUUCAGGGAGGCUUCUGAGCCAUGGAGAGUGUAGACUACUUUUUCCUCAAGCACUACAGAAGCUCAUAAACUUAUGUUUUCUUAUUUGAUGGUGUUGAUUUUUUAAAUACAACUUAUUUUUCAGAACAGUUUUGGGUUCACAGCAAAAUUGAGCAGAAAAUAUAGAUUUUACACAUAUCCCCUUCCCCCAACAUGCACAUAAGCUCCCUCACUAUUAACAACCCCUAUCAGAGUGGUUCAUCGUUACAGUGAACCUAUGCUGAUGUAUCACUAUCAUCCAAAGUCCGCGUUUACAUUAGGCUUUCUUCUUGAUGUACAUUCUAUGAGUUUUGACAAACGUAUAAUGACAUGUACUCACCAUUAAAGUACAAUACAGAAUACUUUCACUGCCCUAAAUAUCCUCUGUGUUCCACCUAUCACCCCUUCCUCCCCACUAGCCCCUGGGAACCGCUGAUCUUUUUUCUGUCUGCACAGUUUUGCCUUUCCCAGAAUGUCAUCUAGUCGAAAUCCUACAGUACAUAGCCCUUUGAGAUUGGCUUCUUUCACUUAGUAAUAUGCAUUAAAGUUCUUCCAUAUCUUUUCAUGACUUGAUAACUAAUUUGCUUUUAGUAUUGAACAGUAUCCCAUUGUAGGAAGGGGGAGAAAUUGGUCCUGUUUAAUCUCAUAAGUGAGGAAGGAGCUAACAGCCACCAGGCAUUGAACUAGAACACGGGAUAUAAAGACCAGCAACUGUGUCCUUGAGGAGCUCGCCACUCAGGCAUGUACAAACACAAUUUCAAUACAAUGUGGUAAGUACUAUAAUUGCAAAACCCAUUUUUCCUUUAUUUUCAAUAGUCUGCCUAUUUGUCAGUUGAGGUGUCAAAUCACGUGUUAUAGUCUUUGAUGCAGAAAAUGUAGUUUACUCCAAAAGGGGUAUUAAAGCACCACGGAAAUGCAGAGGCUUAGAGGAACCUGUCUGGAGCGCCUGAGAUGUCUUCACUGAGGAAGGAAAAUCAGGGCUUAACGCUGUGGGGGAUGAAAAAAUAUAUUUUCUUUCCAUCUUAGGUCCCCUAUAAUGAAUAACAGGUUUACAAGAUAAAAGCAUACACAUUUAUUAAAUAUAUUUAUGGAUAUAGGAGGCUUUGGAAAUGAAGACCCAAAGAAACAGGUAGACGUAUAUUAUGUUUAGGUUUGACGAGUCACGGACAGUCAUAGAGGAAUACAACUGGAGGAAAAAAGAGUAUAAUCUAAUGCCAAUAAACUGUGGAGAACUUAGCA
rnacentral:lncRNA from 13 species